CCCUUAGAUGUUCUGGGCCGCACGCGUGCUACACUGAGUGGAUCAGCGGGUCAGGUUGCGCGAAAGCGUUUCCUAAUCUUUAAAUCCGCUCGUGAUGGGGAUUGACGGUUGCAAUUUUCUGUCAUGAACGAGGAAUACCUUGUAAGCGCGGGUCAUCAUCCCGCGCUGAAUACGUCCCUGCCCUUUGUACACACCGCCCGUCGCUCCUACCGAUUGAGUGGUCCGGUGAGGCUUUGGGAUCUGAGCGGAAAGAGCGUUUCGCUGUUUCUGCUCGGAAAACUCAGUCGAACCUUAUCAUUUAGAGGAAGGAGAAGUCGUAACG
rnacentral:rRNA from 1 species